rnacentral:rRNA from 1 species
GGAAUAUUGGACAAUGGGGGCAACCCUGAUCCAGCCAUGCCGCGUGAGUGAAGAAGGCCUUAGGGUUGUAAAGCUCUUUCGGCGGGGACGAUGAUGACGGUACCCGCAGAAGCAGCCCCGGCUAACUUCGUGCCAGCAGCCGCGGUAAUACGAAGGGGGCAAGCGUUGUUCGGAUUUACUGGGCGUAAAGGGCGCGGAGGCGGAGCUUUAGGUCAGAGGUGAAAGCCCUGGGCUCAACCCGGGAAUUGCCUUUGAGACUGGGGAUCUUGGGUAUGGGAGAGGGUGGCGGAAUACCCAGUGUAGAGGUGAAAUUCGUAGAUAUUGGGUAGAACACCAGUGGCGAAGGCGGCCACCUGGCCCAUAACUGACGCUGAGGCGCGAAAGCGUGGGGAGCAAAC